rnacentral:rRNA from 1 species
UACAGAGGUCUCAAGCGUUGUUCGGAUUCAUUGGGCGUAAAGGGUGUGUAGGUGGCGCGCUAAGUCGGGUGUGAAAUUUCGGAGCUUAACUCCGAAACUGCAUUCGAUACUGGCGUGCUUGAGGACUGGAGAGGAGACUGGAAUUUACGGUGUAGCAGUGAAAUGCGUAGAUAUCGUAAGGAAGACCAGUGGCGAAGGCGGGUCUCUGGACUGGUAUUGACGCUGAGGUGCGAAAGCGUGGGGAGCAAACAGG